AGAUUGAACGCUGGCGGCAGGCCUAACACAUGCAAGUCGAGCGGUAGAGAGGUGCUUGCAUCUCUUGAGAGCGGCGGACGGGUGAGUAAUGCCUAGGAAUCUGCCUAGUGGUGGGGGAUAACGUUCGGAAACGGACGCUAAUACCGCAUACGUCCUACGGGAGAAAGCGGGGGACCUUCGGGCCUCGCGCCAUUAGAUGAGCCUAGGUCGGAUUAGCUAGUUGGUGAGGUAAUGGCUCACCAAGGCGACGAUCCGUAACUGGUCUGAGAGGAUGAUCAGUCACACUGGAACUGAGACACGGUCCAGACUCCUACGGGAGGCAGCAGUGGGGAAUAUUGGACAAUGGGACGAAAGCCUGAUCCAGCCAUCGCCGCGUGUGUGAAGAAGGCCGUUCGGUUGGUAAAGACGUACGUUUAAGGUUAGGGUAAAGAAAAACUACGACUACUAACACAGUAGAGUCUUAGACGGUACCGACGAGGAUAAGCACCGGCUAAC
rnacentral:rRNA from 1 species